rnacentral:lncRNA from 10 species
GUGGCUUUUUUUUUUAGCAUUAUGACAAGCAAAUGCUUGAAUACCAAGGAGCACAUGAGCUUUACAGCAGCAGGGAAAAAAGAAAAGAAAAGAAAAAAAAGCCCCCACAUGGACGCCUGCCUCCAACUCCAGUGGCCCUGCACGGUGCAAAAAGGAGAUUGCUAACAAAAAGGUUAUUCAACGCUUCUCCGAAUAAACCCAAAG